rnacentral:rRNA from 1 species
GAGUUUGAUCGUGGCUCAGGACGAACGCUGGCGGCGUGCUUAACACAUGCAAGUCGAGCGGGGUCCAUCCUUUCGCAAGAAAGGGGAAGACCUAGCGGCGAACGGGUGAGUAACACGUGAGGAACCUGCCCCGAAGACUGGGAUAACACCGGGAAACCGGUGCUAAUACCGGAUGCCCUCAGAGAGUCGCAUGGCUCAUUGAGGAAAUGGAUUCCGCUUCGGGAGGGCCUCGCGGCCUAUCAGCUUGUUGGUGGGGUAACGGCCUACCAAGGCUCCGACGGGUAGCUGGUCUGAGAGGACGACCAGCCACACUGGGACUGAGACACGGCCCAGACUCCUACGGGAGGCAGCAGUGGGGAAUCUUGCGCAAUGGGCGAAAGCCUGACGCAGCAACGCCGCGUGGGGGACGAAGGCCUUC